rnacentral:lncRNA from 1 species
UCGCCUCGCCUCUGGUCGGUUGAGUUGAUCCGCUCCCUGCAGUCUACCAAACAUCAUCUCUUGUAUAUAGCAUCUCUCAUGCAGUAAUAUCACACAAUCCACCAAACACACAUCUCAACCAAUCUCUGCAUCAACUCAACCAGGCCACACUCACCCAGGAUCCCUCAUGCGAUGCAGGCUAGAGCCACCCAGGCAACCAAACACGUCCUUAAUGUGUGAGCGCAAAAUGGAGCGGGAGAUUGUUACUACCCCGCCCAGCCCAUGGAAGGAUAAGGAGUUGGAAAGCAGAAGCGAAGUGAUUGACGCAAUGCUUAUCCUGUCCGGAUGUCUCUCUCCCCCUUUCGGUCAUUCUCAAGAGUCAAGACGGAGAAGGACAAGGUGAUGUCCUAUGGAGACAUGCGCAAAGCGGUAUGGCAUGCGAACAAUUUUGUACUCGUAUUGCGCUAGCUUUGUUUCUCUAGUAAAGGAGAUCGGAAAUGCAGCCGUAGUUGGUGGUGCACUCCAAGUGGCUUCUUAAACGUGUCAUCCGGUGAUACAAGAUUUGUAUAUGCAGCUCUCCAAGGGUCUGGGUCAAAUCUAGCAUCCCUUAUUCAAUUUACUAUCCAACCCUGCUUGUACGAAUGUUUGGUGGUACCAAACCGGAUGUACCAAAUGUCUGGACGUGCGUCCAAUUUCAAUCAAACAAAAUGCAUAAAAAACACCUAGAUUCAAGCAUCCCAACAUCUCCACUAAUAAAAACACACAAGAGGGCAGAUCUAACUCGUCAUCUCAGCCGUCUAAUCAUAUAAUCAUUGCCCAACCACGUCUAAAAACGCCGUUAAGCCUCGAUCCCUCGCUCGCACCCGCUCCCCCCGCUCGGUCCGCUCGCCGCCCCUCCCCCGCUCGCCUCGGCCGCGCCGCGCCGCUCGCCCUCGCCCCAGCUCCCCCAACACGCUCGCCGCGGCCGCNN